rnacentral:rRNA from 1 species
GUGGGGAUAUUGGACAAUGGGGGCAACCCUGAUCCAGCCAUGCCGCGUGUGUGAAGAAGGCCUUUUGGUUGUAAAGCACUUUAAGCAGUGAAGAAGACUCCAUGGUUAAUACCCAUGGACGAUGACAUUAGCUGCAGAAUAAGCACCGGCUAACUCUGUGCCAGCAGCCGCGGUAAUACAGAGGGUGCAAGCGUUAAUCGGAAUUACUGGGCGUAAAGCGAGCGUAGGUGGCUUGAUAAGUCAGAUGUGAAAGCCCCGGGCUUAACCUGGGAACGGCAUCUGAUACUGUUAGGCUAGAGUAGGUGAGAGGAAGGUAGAAUUCCAGGUGUAGCGGUGAAAUGCGUAGAGAUCUGGAGGAAUACCGAUGGCGAAGGCAGCCUUCUGGCAUCAUACUGACACUGAGGUUCGAAAGCGUGGGUAGCAAACAGGAUUAGAUACCCUGGUAGUCCACGCCGUAAACGAUGUCUACUAGUCGUUGGGUCCCUUGAGGACUUAGUGACGCAGCUAACGCAAUAAGUAGACCGCCUGGGGAGUACGGCCGCAAGGUUAAAACUCAAAUGAAUUGACGGGGCC